AUUUCUAUUUUUUUAAUUGGUCAAAUAUUCAAAUUUUAGUUAGUUUUAAGUAUUAGCUAUUUAAUUAAAUUUUGGUUAAUUUUUAAUAUUAGUUGAUUUUUAAAUAUUAGUUUAUUCAAUUAAAUAUUAGUUAGAGUUUUUUUUAUUAGUUAGAUUUUGUAAAAUAUUAGUUAGUUUAUUUAAAAUAUUAGUUAGAGUUUUUUAAACAUUAUGUUAAUUAGUUCUUUAUUAAUGUUUUUGUAUAUAAGUGAAUUAUUAGUGUAUUUUAAAAAAAAGAGGGGUUAGCAUUGGAUUCUAUGAUCCUCUUUUCUCUCUUCCAUAAAAAACAAAAAAAGAUCUCUCUUAUCCUAACGUCUCUCUCCACUCACGUUUUUCUGAUUCCCUGCUCCACUCACUCCCCACUAUCUCUCUCCUUCCCCACAUAACGACAAAAAAAGAUACAAAAUGGA
rnacentral:lncRNA from 1 species